rnacentral:rRNA from 1 species
UACGUAGGAUGCUAGCGUUGUCCGGAUUUAUUGGGCGUAAAGCGCUCGCAGGUGGUUCGUCGCGUCGUGCGUGAAAGACCCCGGCUCAACUGGGGAGUGUCGUGCGAUACGGGCGAACUGGAGGCCAGUAGGGGGAUGCGGAAUUCCGGGUGUAGUGGUGGAAUGCGUAGAGAUCCGGAGGAACACCAGCGGCGAAGGCGGCAUCCUGGACUGGUCCUGACACUCAGGAGCGAAAGCUAGGGGAGCAAACGGG